rnacentral:rRNA from 1 species
UACGUAGGUGACCAGCGUUGUCCGGAUUUACUGGGCGUAAAGAGCGCGCAGGCGGUCGAUCAAGUCGAGUGUGAAAGCCCCCGGCUCAACUGGGGAGGGUCACGCGAUACUGAUCGACUCGAAGGCAGGAGAGGGUAGUGGAAUUCCCGGUGUAGUGGUGAAAUGCGUAGAUAUCGGGAGGAACACCAGUGGCGAAGGCGGCGACCUGGGCAGAUACUGACACUGAGGUGCGAAAGUGUGGGGAGCGAACAGG